rnacentral:rRNA from 1 species
UUAAGCGACUAAGCGUACACGGUGGAUGCCCUGGCAGUCAGAGGCGAUGAAGGACGUGCUAAUCUGCGAUAAGCGUCGGUAAGGUGAUAUGAACCGUUAUAACCGGCGAUUUCCGAAUGGGGAAACCCAGUGUGAUUCGUCACACUAUCAUUAACUGAAUCCAUAGGUUAAUGAGGCGAACCGGGGGAACUGAAACAUCUAAGUACCCCGAGGAAAAGAAAUCAACCGAGAUUCCCCCAGUAGCGGCGAGCGAACGGGGAGCAGCCCAGAGCCUGAAUCAGUGUGUGUGUUAGUGGAAGCGUCUGGAAAGGCGCGCGAUACAGGGUGACAGCCCCGUACACAAAAAUGCACAUGCUGUGAGCUCGAUGAGUAGGGCGGGACACGUGGUAUCCUGUCUGAAUAUGGGGGGACCAUCCUCCAAGGCUAAAUACUCCUGACUGACCGAUAGUGAACCAGUACCGUGAGGGAAAGGCGAAAAGAACCCCGGCGAGGGGAGUGAAAAAGAACCUGAAACCGUGUACGUACAAGCAGUGGGAGCACGCUUAGGCGUGUGACUGCGUACCUUUUGUAUAAUGGGUCAGCGACUUAUAUUCUGUAGCAAGGUUAACCGAAUAGGGGAGCCGAAGGGAAACCGAGUCUUAACUGGGCGUUAAGUUGCAGGGUAUAGACCCGAAACCCGGUGAUCUAGCCAUGGGCAGGUUGAAGGUUGGGUAACACUAACUGGAGGACCGAACCGACUAAUGUUGAAAAAUUAGCGGAUGACUUGUGGCUGGGGGUGAAAGGCCAAUCAAACCGGGAGAUAGCUGGUUCUCCCCGAAAGCUAUUUAGGUAGCGCCUCGUGAAUUCAUCUCCGGGGGUAGAGCACUGUUUCGGCAAGGGGGUCAUCCCGACUUACCAACCCGAUGCAAACUGCGAAUACCGGAGAAUGUUAUCACGGGAGACACACGGCGGGUGCUAACGUCCGUCGUGAAGAGGGAAACAACCCAGACCGCCAGCUAAGGUCCCAAAGUCAUGGUUAAGUGGGAAACGAUGUGGGAAGGCCCAGACAGCCAGGAUGUUGGCUUAGAAGCAGCCAUCAUUUAAAGAAAGCGUAAUAGCUCACUGGUCGAGUCGGCCUGCGCGGAAGAUGUAACGGGGCUAAACCAUGCACCGAAGCUGCGGCAGCGACGCUUAUGCGUUGUUGGGUAGGGGAGCGUUCUGUAAGCCUGCGAAGGUGUGCUGUGAGGCAUGCUGGAGGUAUCAGAAGUGCGAAUGCUGACAUAAGUAACGAUAAAGCGGGUGAAAAGCCCGCUCGCCGGAAGACCAAGGGUUCCUGUCCAACGUUAAUCGGGGCAGGGUGAGUCGACCCCUAAGGCGAGGCCGAAAGGCGUAGUCGAUGGGAAACAGGUUAAUAUUCCUGUACUUGGUGUUACUGCGAAGGGGGGACGGAGAAGGCUAUGUUGGCCGGGCGACGGUUGUCCCGGUUUAAGCGUGUAGGCUGGUUUUCCAGGCAAAUCCGGAAAAUCAAGGCUGAGGCGUGAUGACGAGGCACUACGGUGCUGAAGCAACAAAUGCCCUGCUUCCAGGAAAAGCCUCUAAGCAUCAGGUAACAUCAAAUCGUACCCCAAACCGACACAGGUGGUCAGGUAGAGAAUACCAAGGCGCUUGAGAGAACUCGGGUGAAGGAACUAGGCAAAAUGGUGCCGUAACUUCGGGAGAAGGCACGCUGAUAUGUAGGUGAAGUCCCUCGCGGAUGGAGCUGAAAUCAGUCGAAGAUACCAGCUGGCUGCAACUGUUUAUUAAAAACACAGCACUGUGCAAACACGAAAGUGGACGUAUACGGUGUGACGCCUGCCCGGUGCCGGAAGGUUAAUUGAUGGGGUCAGCGCAAGCGAAGCUCUUGAUCGAAGCCCCGGUAAACGGCGGCCGUAACUAUAACGGUCCUAAGGUAGCGAAAUUCCUUGUCGGGUAAGUUCCGACCUGCACGAAUGGCGUAAUGAUGGCCAGGCUGUCUCCACCCGAGACUCAGUGAAAUUGAACUCGCUGUGAAGAUGCAGUGUACCCGCGGCAAGACGGAAAGACCCCGUGAACCUUUACUAUAGCUUGACACUGAACAUUGAGCCUUGAUGUGUAGGAUAGGUGGGAGGCUUUGAAGUGUGGACGCCAGUCUGCAUGGAGCCGACCUUGAAAUACCACCCUUUAAUGUUUGAUGUUCUAACGUUGACCCGUAAUCCGGGUUGCGGACAGUGUCUGGUGGGUAGUUUGACUGGGGCGGUCUCCUCCUAAAGAGUAACGGAGGAGCACGAAGGUUGGCUAAUCCUGGUCGGACAUCAGGAGGUUAGUGCAAUGGCAUAAGCCAGCUUGACUGCGAGCGUGACGGCGCGAGCAGGUGCGAAAGCAGGUCAUAGUGAUCCGGUGGUUCUGAAUGGAAGGGCCAUCGCUCAACGGAUAAAAGGUACUCCGGGGAUAACAGGCUGAUACCGCCCAAGAGUUCAUAUCGACGGCGGUGUUUGGCACCUCGAUGUCGGCUCAUCACAUCCUGGGGCUGAAGUAGGUCCCAAGGGUAUGGCUGUUCGCCAUUUAAAGUGGUACGCGAGCUGGGUUUAGAACGUCGUGAGACAGUUCGGUCCCUAUCUGCCGUGGGCGCUGGAGAAUUGAGGGGGGCUGCUCCUAGUACGAGAGGACCGGAGUGGACGCAUCACUGGUGUUCGGGUUGUCAUGCCAAUGGCACUGCCCGGUAGCUAAAUGCGGAAGAGAUAAGUGCUGAAAGCAUCUAAGCACGAAACUUGCCCCGAGAUGAGUUCUCCCUGACCCUUUAAGGGUCCUGAAGGAACGUUGAAGACGACGACGUUGAUAGGCCGGGUGUGUAAGCGCAGCGAUGCGUUGAGCUAACCGGUACUAAUGAACCGUGAGGCUUAACCUU